CUGAAGAAACGAGAGAAGCCUAGGCAACUGCAAGGUUCCUGUGGGUCAUUGGAUCUUGAGAUGGAGAAUCUUUUGGAAGACUCAGUUAUGUGCUACUCAUCCUCGCAGCAUUGCUGAAAGGGAGAGAAGAACACAGAUCAGUGACAGGAUAAGGAAGCUGCAAGAACUUGUCCCUAAUAUGGAUAAGCAAACGAACACUGCAGACAUGUUAGAAGAAGCCGUAGCUUAUGUCACCUGCAGAUAGAGAUCCAGGAUCUAGAGCAUCAAAAGAAAUACAGAUGCUCAACAAAUGAUUGAACAAUUGGAUUGGACAUUGUACAGUGAAGAUACAAAGUUAUGAUUUUUGCUCGAUGCUCGAUGCUAGUUUCCACUGCUUGUUUGAGCUGUAACAUAUUGUACAAAGUGGUACUAGUAGAAGUCUGAUGUGCAAAACCAGUAGCUGCCAUCUCUCAUGAAUAAUCACUACUGCCGCUGUUAGAG